rnacentral:pre_miRNA from 1 species
AGUGCAAUUGCUGGGUUAUUCAGUAAGCCCACUUUUGAAAUAACUUCCAAGAUAUUUUCCAGAGUGGUGGUACCAUUUUACAUUCUUACUGGCAAU